rnacentral:rRNA from 1 species
GUGAGGAAUAUUGCGCAAUGGAGGCAACUCUGACGCAGCCAUGCCACGUGCAGGAAGAAGGCGCUACGCGUUGUAAACUGCUUUUAACCGGGAAGAAACCCCAGGACGUGUCCUGGGUUGACGGUACCGGAGGAAUAAGCACCGGCUAACUUCGUGCCAGCAGCCGCGGUAAUACGAAGGGUGCAAGCGUUAUCCGGAUUCCUUGGGUUUAAAGGGCGCGUAGGCGGAGCGUUAAGUCAGUGGUGAAAUCCUGCAGCUUAACUGUAGGCUUGCCAUUGAUACUGGCGCUCUUGAGUGCGCUUGAAGUGGGCGGAAUGUGCCGUGUAGCGGUGAAAUGCUUAGAUAUGGCACAGAACACCAAUUGCGAAGGCAGCUCACUAAGGCGAUACUGACGCUGAGGCACGAAAGCGUGGGGAUCGAACAGGAUUAGAUACCCUAGUAGUCC